rnacentral:rRNA from 1 species
UCAGGCCUAACACAUGCAAGUCGUGCGGAAAGGCCCCUUCGGGGGUACUCGAGCGGCGACGGGUGAGUAACACGUGAGUGACCUGCCCUUCACUCUGGGAUAACCCUCGGAAACGGGGGCUAAUACCGGAUAUGACCUGCUGCUGCAUGGUGGUGGGUGGAAAGGGUCCUGCUUUUGUGGGGUCUGGUGAGGGAUGGGCUCGCGGCCUAUCAGCUUGUUGGUGGGGUAAUGGCCUACCAAGGCGAUGACGGGUAGCCGGCCUGAGAGGGCGACCGGCCACACUGGGACUGAGACACGGCCCAGACUCCUACGGGAGGCAGCAGUGGGGAAUAUUGCACAAUGAGCGAAAGCUUGAUGCAGCGACGCCGCGUGGGGGAUGAAGGCCUUCGGGUUGUAAACCUCUUUCAGCUCUGACGAAGCUGCCGGUCUGGGUGGACNGGNA